UACGUAGGGGGCAAGCGUUGUCCGGAUUUAUUGGGCGUAAAGAGCGUGUAGGCGGCCAUGCAGGUCCGUUGUGAAAACUCGAGGCUCAACCUCGAGACGCCGAUGGAAACCGCAUGGCUAGAGUCCGGAAGAGGAGAGUGGAAUUCCUGGUGUAGCGGUGAAAUGCGCAGAUAUCAGGAAGAACACCAGUGGCGAAGGCGGCUCACUGGACCGGUAUUGACGCUGAGGUGCGAAAGCGUGAGGAGCAAACAGG
rnacentral:rRNA from 1 species